UUUUCCUUUGGGGCGGACGAAGAUGGAAUCGGGUGCGAAUCCCGGGCAGUCCCGCUGCUGUGAGCCUUAACAAAAUGCGCGCGAUACGCCACUGUCCGCGAGGGGCGGGAAGGCCGCGCGCAAAGGCGAGCCAGAAGACAUGCCGCUUUUC
rnacentral:ncRNA from 1 species